rnacentral:lncRNA from 1 species
AUAUAUUUAUCUAUUUAUUGAACUAACUUGCAGUUGCCUCCCUUGGACCUAUUGGUCGAGCUCUUCCUUUGGGUGGCCGUACCCACUAGGAAACAUGGAGUUGGUUCUCACCCCACGUGGUUUUGGGGUGUUUACAGGUUCGCACGUGAGCGGCGCUGCGGCGCGAGGCGAGGGCGUAGCAUCAUAGUUAGCGCCCUGCCACCGAGACCAGAGAUAGCGGUACCCUGAGUCGGCUUUACUUAGGGAUGUAAGGAAAUGAAAGGAAUAGGAUUGUAAUAAUCAUGUUAAAUUGGAUUGUAUUUGGAAGUUAAAUGUAAUAAGUAUUUGGGAUGUAAAAUGUAUGAAUGUGAAUGCAUGUAAUAACAUAGGAUGUGUUAUGUUGUUUGAUACCUUCCACUAUGCAAUCUUGAUUGAAAUGUGUUCCUGGUUGGAACUUUGUACAUUGUAUUGAUUGCUAUGUCUUGAACGUACAGGGGAGACUCUGUCCGCCGUACAGGGGAAACCUUGUCCGUUCGGCGAUCUGUUGGCGUGCCCGAAACCGACCAAAUAGGCGGUCGCGGAGCGUGACAUUGGUUGAUCCAGUAGGGAUUAGCAUUGGUUCAGGACCUUCUUUGCUGCCAGGAUUAGCAAUUAAGGUGGGUUACAUCGGUUUAUUCCUAAGCACAGUAUUAGUCGACAUGCAUUAUUUCCAGUUUUGUAAAUCAUGUUGUAGCUCAAUUUCGUUGAUUGUAUCAUGGAUGAAAUCAGCAUUCAGGACAUGAUUAGUAAACCAUAAAUAUACAUGUUGGACUUGAAAUUUUACUUAGGAGAAAAUCAGCGAUUUGGACCUGUCACUUGUUUACACUACCUGAUUUAGCUCUAGGAGCCGUUGUAAUUUUGUAUCAUCGCAGUAUCGAGGCGACGGGUACCUCAGGUAGUUUAGCUUUCAGUUACGCUCGUGCUGGGAUGCCGAGUGUAUUUUUACAGUAGCGUUCAGACUGUUUCGGAUUGUUGGGUGCCGUCGGGGUUGACGGUGGACCCAUAUCGCCUUUUUGGCGUCGGAUUGUGCCGAGGGCACGUGACCUGUUGGUUGUUAGACCAGUUAGAGUUGGUUACUUGGACUUUGACUUGAGAGUGCCUGAUUGAGUUCGACAGAGAUACGCUGCAUACUCGGUUGGGUAGCUCCCAUGAGUGCCACUCCGGAGAUGGGCGUUGUGCUUUCACGUUGGUGUCGUUCAUGUCGGUUAGACUUGCUCUCCACAGACUAAAUAGUGUAGAGGUAGCUGGAUAGUCUCAACUGGGCGGGACGGGUGUGUUCACAGUCCCUGGGACGGGUAUGUUUAUAGUCCCUAAAGAGAUUGGGUCAGGAUUGACAUUACUACAGUAGGUCAGUUUAGACCAUGAUAGUGUAAUAAAUAGUAGCUGUAGAUUUUAUUCCAGCAUUUAUUACUACCUUUGUUCCCUUCUGUAGACUUAGUGGGUGGACCGAUGAUGUUGAGGGCGGCACCCACUGAAGACUACUUAUUUUACAGUAGUUCUAACGCCCUGUUGUUAUCCCGUUUUUGCAGAGCCAUUGUCUUCGGCUGCUGCUGUUGCUGAUCUGGAUCGAGGCAAGGGCGUCGCGAGUUAGAGUCCUACCCGACGAGCCGAGAUAGAGGUGCCCCUACAGCAGAUAGUUGUUUUUUGUUGGAGUUCAUGUACAUACAUAUAUUUAACUCGCCAGUGCGAGUAGUAUUGUAUCUUGGAUUUGGCGUAUGUAUAUGAAACUCGGUUUGUUUUUAUUAUUGGUUCUUCUAGCAGCUCUAUACUACUGUUUGUAGUAUUGUAUGAUUUACAGGUACAGCUAUCGCUUCGUAUACAGGAAAAAUGUCUUUGUAUACGGCGGAUUUGUCGGCGCGCCCGAGGAACGAGUAAUCCGGGGCAUGAUAUAAUUAAGUUGGUAUCAGAGCUUAGCAUUAGGUCGUUGGGACCUAGAAAACCUAAGUUUGGCAAAUCUUAGGAAGACAAGACGCGAGAGGCGUAAUGUAUUGCGAAAGUCAAUGAUUAAUUGUUCUAACUCCUUCUAGAAUGGGGUGAGUGAUUGAAGGAAUGCCUGUUUUGGCCUGAGAAAUUAUGUUGGCUGCAGACAACAUAAUUUUGGAGGAAGAUAGUGGUCGCCUUCCAGACUUUCGUUGAUUGGGUCGAGAGUAUUUGUGUUUCAUCUGACCCCGAUCUGUUCCUUUCAGCUAUGUAUCGUCGCCGAGGUCGACCGUCGUUACGGGAGUGUGCCCAGUUGUCACAGGAUCGUGCGGGACCUUCCGAGAUGCCUGAGCAUGCAGAGCCGAGUGCCCGGCAGGAGCAGAGUGUUCGAUCGGAGGCGAGUGCAUCCCCGGACUUGAGUGCACAGUUAGCCACCCUGACAGAGGUGACGAGGCGGCAGGGGGAGUUGUUGGAGAGGAUGUGCGAGAGGCUAGCUUCGCCCCAGAGUUCAGCACCGAGGGCACCAGAGUCGUCUGUUCCACCUCCGACUACCCAGUGACAGCACCAGCUACAGCAGUUCCUCCGCCAGUAGCAGUUCCUGCAGCGCCAGUUGCGCCUGCUAAGGGACCAGUACAGUUGACAGAGGCCGAGCAGGAGCGGUGGACAGAGAGGUUGGCUCGUUUCCGCCAUUUUGAUGUGCCGACCUUUGAUGGCAGUUGCACUGAGGCCUGGGUUGUUGAGGGCUGGGUCAGUGCGAUGGAGAAGCUAUUUAAGGAUCUGUUCAUUCCUGAGCGGGAGCAGGUAUCUUUGGGAGUCCAUUGCUUUGCAGGUGAUGCCCACGCCUGGUGGAGAAGAGUGAGGAGAGAGCAGGGACUGGUAGCAUUGCAGCUGAGAUGGGAUGAGUUCUGUGGAAUGCUGUUUGGGAUUGUUUUCCCCAACAGUGUGAAACAGAAGCUCGAGGAGGAUUUGAAGAGGAUUCACAAGGGGAUCGUCCAGUGCAGGAGUACAUUCGGGAGUUUACUCGACUCCUGAACUGUGUGCCAUUUGUGGCCAGGGAUGAGGUGGAGGCCGAGGCGGAGGUGGAGGCCGAGGCCAAAACGCCGUGCUUUGCCUCUGCCCCUCACUGCCUCGUCCUCGCCCGCGCACCCCCCACCCUCCGGGCCUCUGACCCCGUCCAGGCCGCAUCGUGACUCUUUUUUUUUUUUUUCUCCGAUCCUCCUCCACCGCCUCCACAGCCCACCGCCGUUGCCGGCGACGAAGAGGAAGUGCUUCUCGAGGACGAGAAGCACACUAACGAGAGGGGGGAGAAAACUCCGGCGAGGGCAGUGGCUGCAAUAGAGGGCAAGGGAGAGAUCGUGACUACAAAAAAUUAUAAAAAAAAUAAAAAAAUUUCCUCCAUAAAAGAUCAAAAAUUAUAUAAGAAAAAAGAAGAUAAUAAAAAUGCACUGUUAAAAUAAUGUUAUACUAUUUUUUAAAAAAAAUUGCACUAUUUUAAAUAAACGUUGCACUCUUUGAGACAGAAAUUACACUCUUUAAAAUCAGAUUUACACUCUUUAGAAUGAAAUUGCACUAUUUAGGUGAAAUUUACGCCAUUUCUUUUUUCUUCUGUUUUCUCCAAUUUACACUUUUUUUUUCUUCCUCUUCUUCCUCCUUCUUUCUUCUCCUUCUCCUCCCUGAGUGUCCCCACCGCCCUUAUCAAAUCCCUCUGCUCCUCCUCCGCCACAGCCGCCGACCAAUACAACAACAACAACAACAACGCCUGCAUGCUAUGCAUGCUCGUCACCGUCGACGCCGUGCCCACCCUCCUCGACGUCUCCGACUCAGCCGCUGCGAACGUCACCGGCAGCCCCGGCAGCGUCGGCGAGUUGUUGGAGCCCGCAUCUGCAGCUGUGUUUUUUUUUUUUGAGAGAGGUAGAAAGGUAGUAUGUUCACCACUUCGUUCAUUUUUUUAGAAACAAACUUAGUUGAAAAUAUAAAGUAAUUAGGACUCGAAUUUGGGAUAUCAAGUAUCAACCACCAAGCUCUUUGCAACUUGAUGAAUGUUGUGGUCUUAUUUCUGAGGUCUUAAUCUUGGGGGUAUAGCAAUGACGAAUUUAAAAUUUAUUGUUCCAGAGAGGACAAUUUGAUUUCUAGAUGAAAAAUUAAAUAAAUGUUUCGGCAUUAUUUUUCAGGAAGAAAAUGUAGAUUUAUUUUUAGAAGUCGCAAAUUAAGAAUCCUUGGAUGUUGACUUUUAGGGGCUGUUUGGAUGCACAGUAAAAAAUCUCCACGAAAUUUAUAAACUGUGGUUUUGGUUUAGAUGAAAUAGGGAAUCCUCCAAAUCUAAAAAGUUCUACGGAUUCAAUUUUUUAACUGUUUGGAUGCGCAUUAUACAAUUUUACUGGAUUUCUCUAAAUUUUAAAAUUAAAAGUUAAAAUUUAAAUUUUAAAAUUUCAAAAAAAUUUAAAAUUUAAAAUUUGAUAUGUGAAAUGUUAAAUUUUGAAUUUUAAAUUUUAAAUUUUCAAAUUUGAAAUUUAAAAAUUUAAAAUUUAAAUUUAAAAAAUCAAAAUUUAAUUUUUAAAAUUUUAAAUUAAAAAUUUUAAAAUAAAAAAUUUAAAAUUUAAUUUUGAAAUUUGAAAUUUAGAAUUUUAAAUUUUAAAUUUUAAAUUUAAAAAAUAAAUUUAAAAUUUAAAGUUUAAAAUUUGAAAUUUGAACUAUGAGAUUUGAGAUUUGAAAUUUCAAAUUUGAAAUUUAAAUUUUAAAUUUUAAAUUUUAAAUUUUAAAAGUUAAAAUUUAAAAUUUAAAAUUUGAAAUUAAGAAUUUUAAAUUUAAAAAAUAAAUUUAAAAUUUAAAGUUCAAACUUGAAAUUUGAACUAUGAGAUUUGAGAUUUAAAAUUUGAAAAUUGAAAAUUGAAAUUUAAAAUUUAAAAUUUAAAAUUUAAAUUUAUAUUUGAAAUUUUAUUUAAAAUAACAAAUUUAAAAUUUAAAAUUUGAUAUUUAAAAUUUGAAAUUUGAAAUUUAGAAUUUUAAAUUUUAAAUUUUAAAUUUUAAAAAAUAAAUUUAAAAUUUAAAGUUUAAAAUUUGAGAUUUGAACUAUGAGAUUUGAAAUUUGAAAUUUCAAAUUUGAAAUUUCAAAUUUCAAAUUUCAAAUUUGAAAUUUAAAAUUUAAAGUUUGAAUUUUAAAAUUUAAAAUUUAAAGUUUAAAAUUUUAAUUUCAAAUUUCAAAUUUCAAAUUUUAAAUUUUAAAUUUUAAAUUUUAAAUUUUAAAUUUUAAAUUUUAAAUCUAUGUUGAAAUUUAAAAUUUUAUGUUGAAAUUUAAAAGUUAGAACUUAAUGCAUUUUUUUGAAUAAGGGAGCUCAAGAAUGGUGGAAUUUUUUUCCUUUGGUUAGAGUGGAUUAUACUUUUACUCCAUUUUUUGAAGUACAGUUUAACUAUACUCUAAAAUUUACGUUACUUUUUUUUCCUCCCAAACACUUCAUAGGAUAUUUUUCCUACUGCCGUAGCAUAGUUUAGCUAUGCUACAUUUUCAAGAGUAUCCAAACAGGGCGUUAAUCCAAUCCCUUCUAAUCCUAUCCUCCCACAUUGGACAAAUUGGUUCCAUACAGCAGUGACUAUUUGUUGGUGGGGAUUAAUUAGUCCAAUCCGAUGGCUAUACCAAACAUAGGGACUAACUGUGGACCAGAUUACAUUGAAUCCGAUCCCCAACAAUCUCAUGCUCUUGAAUUCAAUCCCCAAUAAUCUCGUGCUCCAAACAUGCCCAGAGGUAUUAGCUUACAAGAUAAGAUUGGAAUGACCAAUAUACAACAAUACUGAAAGGUUAUUCAAUGUAUACGGAUUGAUUUUGUCUUUGCGUGAUGCUUUGUUGAAAAAUAUUGAAAAAUUUUUGGAUUUUGGUUCAUAUUGUUGGAAAUGAUCUACAAUAUUGAUGUUACUAGGAAUCAAAAUUCACAACUUGACAGUGAUACUAAUGUCAAGAAAUAUAUCCGUAAAAUGUACAUUUGAAAAAACACAUAAUAGGGGUAAAAUAACAUAUUGGCCAGAAGAGCUGCUAUUCCGUCUUAUGACAAUAUCAAGAAAUUUUCAUAGAAGGAUAUACAGGAACUCGUGUAUCCGAAACCUGACUGUUUUUCCUUUAUGAUGGAAGAUUCAACUGAUCAAUGAUUUGUUUUGUUGAUUGCAAUAGAAUCAAUUUAUAGAAGUUAUAAUACAUCACCUUCCGCCAAUCUAAUCUGGAUUGGGAGGCAGAUUAGUAGCUCUUUCCCGGGUACAUUAAUCAAUAAUGCUCUUAGCAAUACCUGCUGAGCGAACUGGAUGCUCUUACCUGCUGCUAGCUUGAGGUAUUGUUUUAAUGGUUACAUUUCUUUUGUUAUUUUGUUAUUGGGGAAUUUGGUAUACUCUUUUGGAGGAUUUUAUUCAUUGCCCAACUUUCUCCUUUCUUUUUUUCUUAUUCUUUGGUGGGUCAUCUUAUCUUUUAGUGUUUUUUUUGCUUUUCUUUUUUUCUCACCUAGAUACUUGUUGUGGCAUCUAAAUUUCAUCUUCACGAUAAUACUGUUUUCCUGUAUGACCAAUCUCUUCUACUUUGUUUGACUCGUUUCCCAGAAAGCUCCAUGAGGCAUCCUUUUCUGGAUCACGAGAGGGUUUUGGGAUUUGCCAUUUUGGAGCCAUUAGGUGAGGCUCGUUUGGUGUAUAUAUAUUUUCUAAUUGCAAUAUUUCCUUUUCCAUUGUUAGUACGUCUCAUGUUUGCUGCUAUUUCUAGUUUUGAUCUAUAUAAUAUGUUGAUGGGUUAAGAGAGAGGGCGAGAUAAUAAAAAUGACCUGCCCUUUUCUGAAUGGUUGGUACAGUUACAUGUCAUGAACACAUGCCUAAUUCGGGUUUUUUUUUUUUUUUAACUAUCCUUUGAUUUCUUAUAAUUAUAUAUAAAAAAGGCCUUAGACAUCCGGUGUGCGAUCCCUUUGUAUCUUCACUAUUGUGUGAUGUGUUACUUGAAACUACCAAAACUUAUUUCACUAUUGGCUUGAGUUGUGAUACUAGUACUAAACGUUCGGCAAAGUUUCAUUUUUGUUCCUCAACAAAAUUUAGUUUGAAUAUCUAAGAAGAGAAGAUUUAGGGCUAUGAAUAUAUUAUAACAAUAAACAAAUAUAUUAGAAUAAAAUCUGACCUCAAGUAAUGAAAAUUAGUUGUACAAAGAGAAAUCCUACUAACUUGAUCGAAUUGAUCAAAAUGUCAUGAACUGAUGGUCUAAUGAUAGAUUUGAAAAAAUAAGAAUAUCAAUUCAUGAGAAUUUCAUCAAGUUAAACAAUUACUUCAUCAAAUUUAACACUAACUACUUUUUAUUUGAAGAUAGCACAAAUUCAACUAAUCGUUAACUGCCAAUAGCUCUUUAACCCAUUAGUGAAAUCUUCAAUUCCACUAAUUGAAACAACAUAAAUAAACAAAUAAAAUUGAAAGGGUGAUAAUAAACAAAAAAAUAAAAAAAGUAAUGGAUCUGAUUCCAAGUGGCCCAAAGUUGAGAGGGUGUACAUACUUUUGUAGCACUCUGGCAUUUAUGAACUUAUGAAUUGACAACCUUUAGAGUUUAGAGGCUCCGAAACUUCUCCACAUUUCGCGGGCUGGGGACCCUACUAUGCUGUUUUUUCUCAUUAAUGGUCGUCGUAGCGUUCUACCGUCUUCGUAGUGGUUCACCUACUACUAUCUUCCCAUACCGACAUUACGCCCCCAUUUCUUUUUAUACUCCUCCUUUGCUCUCUCACUCUUACCUUGACCCUAGUCCAACUCCUCUAUGACUCCUCCAUUCUCCUCCUCCCAUACUCCUCCCAUACUCCUCCCUCCUUGCCCUCUCUUUCUGUUGCCAUCGCCUUCAUUGUCGCUGCCUCGCCGCCGCUAACCUCCUCUGGGAGCACCUCUCGGCCACGGUCGCGGCCGACGACGAUGGCGGCGCCACCGGCGGUUCUCCCAGCUUAGCUCCCUUUGACAACACCCUGUGCUCUCUCUCCCUCGACACAGUGCCUCCACUAGCUUCGGAUCCGAAACCUUCUCACAGUUCCAGGUUCCAAGCUCAAGCCAACGUCUGAAGCUUGGCCUGUGAGCUCGGAGUUCAUUAUCUCCUCUCUCUCUCUCUUUCUCUUUCUUCUCUGAGCAAUGCAAAAAGAAAGAGGUCAUAUUAUUAUCAUUACUGCUCUCGAUCAUGCACUUCUCCUUCUCCGAAGCUCAUCAAAUGCGUUGCUUCACGAAUUUGAAGCAGUUUACUUCUAUGGUGGGCAAUUUUUACUCUAUUUUUAUAUUAUUUUUAUAUAUUUAUUUUAUCUUUGGUGAUUUGUAGGAUGUGAUCCUACUAUUUGUGUUGAUUUUAGUUGAAUAAUUUAGGCUCUCCUCUUACUUUCCUAGAAAAUUGUUACUGUAUGGUUAUGUCAUCUAGUAUUUUUGAGAUUUUAUAAAGGGAUGAUGCUAUAAAGAGUGGUAAAGUUGCGAAUUAGUUCUAAGUUUGGUCAAUGGAAGCAUGGUGCAAAGUAAUUGGGCAGUGGAUAAGAUAUGGGUAUCCUGUGAAUUUCAAAUUUUUCUUUUUUUUAAAAAAUAGAAAUUUGGGAAUUGAGAAUUUGUCUUAUGAUUAUCUUUGGAUUAUUUUAGACUUGAUAUGUAUAUAUACAACUAUUUAACGAAGUGGAAUCUAAGGAUCAUUGUGAAGGCCUUCAUCGUCGAAGGAAAGGUUGCCAUUGAUUGCUCGCAGUCUCGCUUCUUGAUCAUAUUUUCACGGCCAAGAGCUUAGUCACGAAUCACAUUUUUGCUCCAUACUAAUGAUAAGGUUUUUUUUAUAAAAAAAUUAAAAAGAUGCGUUCAUCAUGUUUUGAUAGAAAAAUUGUUGAUUCCUAUGUGUUUUUGGUGUGCAGAGUACUUAACCAAUGAUCACUCGGCAUCGGUGAGAAUUAUCGAAUUGUCUUACCCUUAGAAACUUUUGUACAUAGAGGGUUUAAAAAUCAUCUAACCCUUAGAAACUUUAAUUGAAGGAUAGAUUGACUUGAGGCAAUGACAAAGUGGAUUAUUACAAGGUUACAACGUCCAAUUAAGGGAUCUUGUUGAUUUUGAAGGUCUUUGGCCAAAUUGGACCUUGGGUUUAGGUGUUUGCGCAAGGGAAGCAAGCUCUCGGCAUGGAACUCUAAUUAGAGGUGGGUUGUACAAUUCCUAAGUGGUUGGAUCGCUUCCCAUGUCUAGGGAACAAAGUUCAUGUUGAGCAUAUAAGUGUAAUUUGGUAGCUUGUGUAGUAAAUGUGUAUGCAUGAGCAUCCUUAUAUGAGAUAUACCUUUCUUGUGGUAAGUUAGCUAGCAUGAUGUGAGAAAUUUACAUUUUGUCAAUAUGGUUGGUCAAAGCCUAUUAACCUAUAUUACGAACUAUUGAACUAGUAUGACAUUCUCCAGAGACAACUUAGAGUUUGACAUGUGUUUGUAAUUAUUGAAUAUAGUGCCAUCUAACAUAGAUUAAGAAUAAAGGUUGAUUGGGUCACUACUUGGGCAAUAGCGCCAUGGAAUCUUGAAUGGUUGAUUACAUCAAUUGAUUGAUUCACUCUUAGAACAAUGACAAGGUUGUUAAUUGUGACUCUUGAACAGGUGCAUGUGAUCACUAAUCGUAGAGACCAAUAACUUGUUGAGCUUUACUCGUUGGUGGUCACUCCCGCACAAGUCGGGUCCCUUUGGAGGUGUAGACUUUACAAGGGUGACUGCCACAAUUUCGCUGCCUAUUGACAGACCCUGGUGCAUGCGACGAUUUCACCACCUAUAGACUUGUAUGCCAGAGGUGAGUGCAACGAUUUCGCCAUCAAUAGCUAAGUUGAGUAUAAGAUGAGACGAACCUUGAGUUCGGUUUUUAUAGAUUGGGUAAAUAGAUUAGUAAGUAAUACAUGAGUUGAAUCACGGAGAUCAUAUUAUCUUGUUGAGGCGUAAUAGUAUUGUUUCACUUUUCGCGUAUAGUUGAUGUACAUAUGUUUAUCUCUAGAUUAUAUGUUUAUCCUACACAUAUUAUGCCUCCUUUGAAGCUGGUGGGUCGAGCUUAUCCUUGGGCAGUCUUAUCCGUUGUGAAUUAUGUUUAUAAUUCUACUUCUAUUUCGCAAGUCCAUCCGCCGUCGGUGCAUCGGAUCAAGGCAAGGACUUGGCACAGUAAAUAGAGAGUUUACCUACCUUUUUGGAGUAGCCAAGUUGCUAAACCCAAGUGGAAAUGAAUUGUUUGGAGAUAAAAUGCGCCUAGGAGGCUUCAACUGUGGGCCCAGGGCGUGACAGGUAUGAAUGAAAUAAAAGUUGAAGAAAAAUUAUGAUUUUUGAAGAAGCACAGAUUUAAAGAAAAUAGGUGGCGCUUCUAGAAAACUUAACAAAACUUUGUUAAGGAUAGUGAUUUCCUCUCUAUAGUGCAAAGGCUUCACGGAAAUCCUACCCCUAGAAUACAACGGCUACAAUAGAGCAAAUCAAGUUGUACUACAAGUCUGUUCUCUCGAUCAAAACCCAUUCCAAAAAGAGAUUAAAGACGAUACGGCUUGAAAGAUUAGAAGGAUUGAAAGAGUAGAGAGAUUGAAAUGAAGAAGAAAAACUUAUUUUCUCAUUCCUUUUUCGGAUGCUCUCAAUCUACACAAGGGUGUCAUUAAAUAGACGCCCCAAAAGUGUCUGCCGGUGCGAAGAGAUGUGUCCUAAUGAUUGUUUAUUUUCGCGGAACGAUCGGCCGUUUUCCUUCACAAAUAAUUAAAAUUUGAAUUGAAUUUGUAAUAAGUUUUAAACUCCAUUCUAUAAUGCUCCUCUAAUGAGGAACUCCAAUGAAGCUUGGGGAGAGGGGGGGAACACCUAUACUUAUAGCUUGGAGGUGAAGUAAAGCUUCAUCACUCUCCAAUAUAUGUGGAACCAAGAAAAAAAAAAAGAAGCAAGCUCGGACUCGAGAGCUUCAAAAAUGUAGAAUGGAGGGAAGAUGAAAUUUUCAUCUCAAUCCAUUUUCUUUUUUUUUGUCUAAGCUUAAACAUUAUUGCCCUUAUCAAAGAUGACGAAAAGAGUUAUUAGUUUGUAAUUCUUCAACAAUAAAUCCAAAAUUUAUUGUCUACACCUGAUUCUUCGGUACAUCCAUGUACCCCAUCUGCCUUCUAUUCAAAAGGCGAUAGAGAUUAAAACAUGAGAUAGGGUCAUAAUAAUAAAUGCUGAAAUAGCAAUAUUUGGAAUAAAAGUGCUAUAAACAUCAACUAUAUGAACUCAACUAUCAUGCAUGCAUCAAUUAUUUUAUUGAUAUUCAAGUAUCAAUGUUUUACUCAAUCUCUUGAGAACUUAUUCAAGGUAUAGUUCUAGCCUGUGCUGUGCCAUAUGAUCUCAUGGUAGGCACCCCUACCAUGGCAUUGUUCCUUUCCCACGACAUCCUAAUCGGCACUCAAAAAGCAAGGCGUGCUUGUGUCGCAACGGCAAUACCUUCGGAGGGCCGUGCUUAUAGGGAGCGACCCUACCAUUCGAUGUGCUAAAUGAGCAUAGUUAGCUCUUGCAAGUGAUAAUCUCAUACAUUGUUCAAGGUCAUACAAUCUCAUUUACUUAUACAUUGUCAUAUAAGAGUUCUCAUGUUUAUAUUCUUGGCCAUAUACCAAUUUGCCAAUGUUGGCUUUAUGAUCAAGUAGCAACAAGAGUAUUCAUAUUUAGUAUGAAUUUGUACAUCUCAACUUACAAUAAGGUAUUUAGAGAGUAAAGCACUCAUGCAUCACUUAUUAGAUGACCAUAACUUAAGAAAAUUUAUGUAUCAAUAAAAUUCACGCAUCAUGCUAUACAAGGCAUAUACUAUAGAGUUUCCAACCAAUAUGCAUGAGAUGAUGAUCUUAUGUACUAAACCAUCUACAAAUAUUCCAAGUGUCAUGAUUGAACAAGAAUUGGAACUAAGGGAGUCGAAGACAUAGGGGGACCUCACCAAUUUCCAUUAGGUCGAACCUAUCGAAAAGUCGGUGAAAACCCUUAAAUCUCUUGAAACAAGUUGUCCACCCUCUUCUCCUGUCCCUAAGAAAACUUCAUCUCGAAAUUUACCAAAAUUGUCGAGGGGUUACAAGCUCUUAAAAACUUCAUCUCAAAAUUUACCAAAAUUCACUUAAAAAAUAGGCGAAAAAAUUAUCUUAACCAAGAAAUCUCAAAAAUUUCUCCACUCCAAGUUGUUGGGAGAUUCAAUUCCAACCUACAAGAAGGUUCUACACACAUCAAUUUCAACAAAAAGCUCCAAAUUUAGAAAUUAUAAAUUUUAACAUUAGUUUAACUAACUAGAAAAUCCUCAAUUUUACUCUCAAAUCAAACUAACUAGAGACUAACCUUGAUUCAAACUCUAAUUCAAGAUUAGUAUGCUAGGGUUGAGGAUUGGAACCUCCAUGCCAAUUCUUUUCCAAUCCCUAAGCUCCACUCCAAGCCACUUCUUUUCUAAUCCCCAAACUCUUCUCCAAGCCUAUAGUUGUAAAAGCUUCAAGAAGGAGGAAAUAGAAAAGAAGAACAUGAGGGUGAGAAGAAAUUGGAUUAGGAAAUGGAGAGGAAGAAAAUGAAGGUGAAGAACAAGACUCACCUCUCUUGUGCUGGUGAAAGACGAGAGAAAGAGAGGUGAGAAUGUAUAGAGAGAGAGAGAGUUGAGUUGGAAUGCUGUUAGUAACAAACGAGCUCUGUUGCCACCCAUUGUUUUCGAUGAUGGAGCCUUCAAAUCGAUACAAUAUUGAACAUGAUCUAUACCACUUGAAGCAUUUAGAAACCAAAUUUCAUACUUUUUUUAUAUUGUUCUCUUAUCCAUCAAGUGGAAACAAAAAUGAACGACUGAAUAUCCUUUAAAAAGUAAUGGCAGGAGUUUUGUAAUAAAGAUUAAGAGUAUAGAUCUCAUUUCAAAUAGUUUAAAGAAUUUUGUAAUCAAAAUUCAAUUGAUUUGGAUCUCUUUAUGCCGUUAAAUGAGAAAACGUCUCAUAUUGACCAUUAACAACAAAUAUGUUAAUAAAGAGUUCCACAAAUAGCAAAACUGGAACUCCAAAGUGUGCCUCUGUUGUAAAUUGGUUUUAAUAAAAUGUGUCAAUUAACUCUGCUCUGUUUAUUAGUAAUACUAUCUUUUCAGGGUAUAAGGUUGCCAAAAUCGAAAUGUUUGCCUGGCUCUAGUUUAGCACAUUUAUUGCUGCUUGAGCAUAGCCAUAUCUUUUGAAUGGCACUAUACCUCCUUCAAUAUUCAAAAUCUGCAUAUAACCCUGUAAUUUAUAUGGAAAGCCAAGUCAAAUUUCAAGAUUUUGUUAAUUAUAUGAAACAACCGUUAUUCUCUAAUAGCUUAAGCUAUCAGAGAAUGGUGUUUUUAAUUUGUAUAUUCGACACUCUCCCUCACGUUUGGGCUUGAGACUUUUUUCAUAGGCUCAAGACAUGGACUUAAAUUAAAUGAAAGGGAAUUAAAUUAUGCUAGGAGCCAGGUAGGACUCGAAUUCAAAACCAUAGUUAGUUAAUUCGGAUUCGGCAAAAAUUCGGUACGGGUAUAAUUCGGAUAAAAUUCGUCUUUUAAUUUUUAAAUUCGUUGAAAAAUACGGCUAAAAAACGGAUUCAUCAAUUAUUCGGAUACGUGAUUUAUUUGGAUAUUAUACGUUUACCAAUUAAAAAUUCGGGAUAAAAAAUUUGGCUAUUAAAUUAAAAUUUUUUCUCUCAAGAUUUAUGCUAUUAGCAUAAAUAUUUAUAUCUUUUACAAAUAUAGGAAUAAAUAGCUACAAAAUUAAGAUAAUUAAGUAAAAAUUUGAAAAGAAAUUUUUUUUUUUUUUUUUGGUCUUAGGCGAGGUGUUUGGAAAGAUUUUUUCCUUUUUUUUUUUGUAGUUUACUGUUUUGGGCCAGGCAGCCCAAGAGCGCAUGCGACUGCGGGAGCGCGUGCGCGGGAGCGCAGGCAGGCGCAGACAGGCGCGGGCAGGCGUGUGCGUGAUCCCUUUUUUUUCGCCGAAUAAUUCGGCUCACCGAAUAAUACGCGAACACAUAUUUUUACUCAAAAAAUCCCCCUUUUUUCCGAAUUUUUUGGAAAAAAUUCGAAAAUAGCCGUUUAAUUCGGGUUUUGAAAAAUUCGCGAAUAAUUCGCGAAUAAUUCGCGAAUAAUUCGCGAAUGAACUAACUAUGUUCAAAACCUCUUGCUCUGAUACAAUGUUAAAUUAUGUGAAACAACCGUUAUUCUCCAAUAGCUUAAUUUAUUAAAGAACGGUGGUUUAAUUUAUUCAUUCAGCACUUUUGCUUUGAUCAGUCCAACAGUUGAAAAUUCAAGUCUUGAACCUCUUUGUAAUUUUUAUCUUCGAGAUGGGUUUUUACAGCUGGGGCAGCAUAGCCCCCAUUUUCCGCUUUGGCUGAUACAUGAUAGACCACUUUGUGUUUUCAGUAUGGUUAAUUUUAUUCUACUUUACCACUUCUGCUGUGUGUGUGAACAUUAAAAGAAGGGUAUAAACUUUUUAUCUUGAACCUCUUUGUAAUUUUUAUCUUCGGGAUGGGUUUUUACAGCUGGGGCAGCGCAGCCCCAUUUUUUCCGCUUUGGCUGAUACAUGAUAGACCACUUUGUGUUUUCAGUAUGGUUAAUUUUAUUCUAUUUUACCACUUCUGUUGUGUGUGUGAACAUUAAAAGAAGGGUAUAAACUUUUUAAAAAUGAGCAAAUGGAGUGGCUUUGCUCGCGGUCAUAUGCCUGAUUAUCCUGAUGCUACCUGUUUAAACAAAAGUAUGUCUGGCCGGAAUGGCAUUGAGACAAUCAUUGUUGUCAUGCUUGUUUGCAAAUUAUAAUUUGAUUCUACCUCUAGUCAAAUUAUGUGGACCACGAAAUGUCAAACUAACGAGCAUAUUGCGUGUUUCAAAGACAUUAUGGUUUUAGUUCAGGUAAGUUUAAUUGAUUGAUUUUCUCUUUAUGUUUCUUCUACCUUCUUUAUUUGAUGAUCUCUGAUGCUCCAUCCACCUUGUGAGUACCUCAAAUGUCUUUGGUUUCAUUAUUUCGUGAAUAGUACAUACAAUGAUAAGAAACACAAUUUACUGAUUAAGAUUAUACAAUUUUGUGCUCGCCGUUGAGGAGGUUCGCUGUGAUUGUUUAGAACUUUUUUCUAGGAUUUUUUUUAAUUAUAUUAUUAUAGUCCGACUUCUCAAAGAGUAGUUAUCGUUAUUGCUUUCAUUCCAUGAACUUCAUAUCAACUUACUGACUCACUUGCAUAGUUGUUUAACUCUUAUAAUUUGUAUUUGUGCAUGCAAUUCCGAAGGUACUAUGAUGUAUUCCUAAAGAGAUACCAGAAGCUCGCCACGGAGAAUAACUGGAAUCAACCUCUACUCGGUAAUGUUGAUUCUCAAUUUUUGUUUUUCUUAUGUUAAAUUUGCCUAAAACUAUGCUGUCCCAUGUCUUCAUCCGCCGCCCUUCUGCUUUUCAGAAGUCAACAGAAGCUACACUACAAUCUGAUAACGAGGCACCGGAUAAAUUUCCUGAUAAUGUUUUGUAGUUUUAUACUUCCAUUACGCAUCUGUGACACUUAUUAAUGAUAUAGUUACUAAGUUGUCUGAUGCAUGCAGAUGCGCUUGCGUACUCGGUGCAAAUAAUGGAGGAGGGCGUGAUCCCCGUCACCCCCUGCGAUGUUCCUAUCGAUGCUCUCGUAUCUGCCACCGGCGUAAUUCCUAUCAGUCCUUCUGCCUUGGAGAAGAUGUGAUUCUCUCUCUCUCUCUCUUUGUCUCUCUCUGCCCCCGUCUAAGUCCCCUAUUUAUGACUGUUUUACUCGACAGAUUCACCAUGUACGCUAAACUUGACAUCAAAGUAUCCUUCUGUCGGCUUAACAUUCAGUUGAUAGCCAACUAUACAAGAUCUAACUGUAUCAAUUACAACUUCCAGUUCUUUCGUCUCGAUUUUGGUUUACUUGUACUUUUUGUUAGUGAUGAUCUUUCUGUAGUGCUCUAAUGUCGCACUCCGAAUGCUAAAUGUACAAUUUGUAAUAAUUUUACGCCUGUCUUGAACCUUUGAAUUUUUGCAAUUGAAUAUCUGACGUCCAUCAAUCUGCUGACGCAAAUCGCCACAUGAAAGAGCCAGUUAUGUCUGCCAUGUUAGCACUAAAUUUUGCUGCAGGGUAAUGCUGUUGAAUACUAAACCAAACUUGCCCUAAUCCUAAAUUCACAUGUCAAACUUAUAUUAGGAUCUAAACUUGAACUUAAGAAAUUAACAUUUUAAUUUUAGAUUCAUAAUUCAAAUUUAAAUAUAAAAUAAUAAUUUAAAAGUAAAUAAUAAUUAAUAUUUGAAUUUAAAUAAUUAUUUGUGAAAAAAUGUUUUUUUUGAAAAUUCCUUUCAGAAUCAAAGUUAUUCCCACCGUCGUGGGAGGAAUCAAUUGGGAGGGAUUCGUUUUCCAUCGGAAUAAAUAUUGGAAGGCUAAAAUAGGAAAAAAAAAAUUAUAAAUAUUCAAAUUUUCCACUCUCUUUGAUUUUUAAAAGUAUAUAUUUUAUCACGUCAAAAUUUUAAAUUGAUACAUUUAGCUUCCGUUCAUUUCAUAUUAAUUUAUAUCAAAAUAUCUUUAAAAAUAACAGAAAUAUAUUAAAAAAAAUUAUGGAACAAGUAAAUACUAUUUAGUCACUUUGUUCUCUCCAUUAACGUCAUAACUCUUUGAAUAUAUUUUUAAAAUAUUAAGUGGACAAUAUAAAAAUCUUUAAAAGUCGAAAAAAGAGUAAAAAGUUAGAUAUUUAUGAAAAAAUUUUCUGCAUUAGAGUCCAAUUGGAACGAGAAUCACUCAAAUCAAAUACCAACAAUAAAAAUUAAUUAUUUUAUCCUACUCUUUUGUCAUCAGAUUCUGAGUUCAAAUACUACACACACACCCACCCCAUAAAAAAAACACCCCAGCAAAAGACAAUAUUGUAACGUACCAUUUUCACUAUCGCAUCGUCGCCUAUCAUGGUACUGUGGUGAAAGAUCACAAGUAUGUGAGGUUGCAGGUAUGUAGACAAAUAGGAACAGCUAUUCCUGGGGUUUCUUUUACAUUUAGACCCCUGACAAAUUUUUAUUUUAAAAUUAGCCCUGUCAAAAUUUAAUUUGCAAAAAUGGUCCUGGGCCUGCCACGCAGGCGCCACGUCAGCGCCACGUGGGCAGGGACAAACACGGUGAAUGGUUCACCGUGUUUAGUACGUAUUUUUUGUAUAUUGAAAAGAGGAAUAGGGAGUAGGGAUGUCAAUAUGUAUGGAUAUCCGAAAUAUUAUCUGAAUCCAAAGUCCAAACCCGAAUAAAUUAUAUUUAUAUAUAUAUNAUAUAUAUAUAUAUAUAUAUAUAUAUAUAUAUAUAUAUAUAUAUAUAUAUAUAUACAUAAUUUAUUUUUAUUUAUUUAUACAAUAUAUAAAAUAUUUAAUAAUUUUUAUUUCAUAGAUCUUCAUCCAACGGUAUAGAUUUUUAAAACCCGCUGGGUUCAGGUUCGGGUUUCGAGUUUUUGGUCGGAUAUGGAUAUGGGUAUGAAUUUUUAAAAUCCGUCGGGUUCGGUUCCGGGUUUGAAUUUUAAUUUGAUUUUCGGGUUCGGGUACGGAUUUUUGAAAAAGAGAAGAAAAGGAAUACAAAUUUCCUAUUCCUCUUUUCAAUAUACAAAAAAUACGUAUUAAACACGGUGAACCAUUCACCGUGUUUAGACACGGUGAAUGGUUCACCAUGUUUAACUUUACUACCGCCCCCAGCCCUACUCGCGUGGUGCUGACGUGGCGCCUGCGUCGCAGGUCUAUGGCCAUUUUUGCAAAUUAAAUUUUGACAGGGCUAUUUUUAAAAUAAAAAUUUGCUAAGGGGCUAAAUGCAAAAAAAGCCCGCUAUUCCUGCUGUCUCCUUUGGAAUCAUUGGUGUGCAAUAAAUUCCUACUGUAAUUACCAUUUUACCGUUUGGCUUAGGUUUUGAAAAAAAAAGUUCUGCAGUAGAGUUAAUUUUGAUUUAGAGAACUCAUUUUGAUUAAAAUCUAUCAAGCGUUUGAUUGAAUUUAAAUAAAAGUAAUUUUUCUGAAGUGAUUUCGUAAAACUGUUUGGUAAAAUAUUUUUAAUAUUUACAAAUAAUAAUUUUUUACUAAAUUUUAUUUUAAAAUAAUUUAAAUUUUGAAUUUAGAUUUAAAUUUUAGAUUUAAAAAUUUUAAAUUUGCCAAAAAUUUAAAAAAUUUUGAUAUUUUAAUUAAAAAUAUAAGUUUGAAAUUUAAAAUUUUUAAAUUUAAAAUUUGAAUUCUUAAAUUCAAAUUUUAAAACUUAAAUUUAAAUCAAAAUGUAAAAUAUAAGAUUUAAAACAUAAAAUUUGAGAAAUUAAAAUUUAAAAUUUAAAAAAUUUAAAACUUAAAAUUCAAAAUUUAAAAGUCGAAAUUAAAAUUUAAAAUUUGAAUCUAAAAUCCAAAUAAAAAUUUAAAAUUUUGAGUUCAAAAUCAGAAUCAGAUUUCAAGAAGCAAGUUUUAGCUGCUUCUGAUUUUGGGUUUCGAAAAUUAAAAAACUGAUUGUAAAAAUCAAAAUCAAUUUUUAAAAAGAAAAUUACCAAACGCUCUAUUGAGUCGAAAAUCACUUCUGGACCCAAAAUUACUUUUUAGAAGUUAGGCCAAAUACCCACUAUAGUUGAUCCAAUAUAUGUACUUCUAAAUCAGUUUGAGUAUACGGGGCAAUUGAUCUGUACAUAAAGUAGUGAUCUAUACAUUGGUUCUUAGCAUUAGUCUGAUAUUCAUCCUACGUGACAUAUUUACCUUCUCAUUAAUUUGUCAACGCAGAGGAUUGGAACUCAAAACCUUGUAUUAUAAUAGAAGUAUUUAAAAUUAACUCAAGUACUAUAUUAUUUAUAAAAUUGAUCAAAUAAAAAACUGACAAAAAAAUAUAGUUAACACCCGAAACACACAAACCAAAUAGAUUAUCUAUCAAUUUUUUUACAGCACUAGUAAAAGAUAAUAUUUCUCCUUAAUAAUUUUCAAACAUCCCUUCAAAUAUUUUCAAACCUCUAGACUUCGCAAAUAAAAUUUAGAGUUUAAAAAAUAUUUUGAUUGUGAAGCCAUUUCUCAGGGUCAUCUAUCUUAGGCCUACUCUACCUCUGAUACGUCUCUUGAGUUUAGCCACUGUCCAAAAUAUUAUAACGGGAUUAAAAGUUUUAAUCCUAUUAUAUCUUAUAUGUAAAACUAUCUGAUAUAUCACAUUUUCUCCUGCUUUAAGUCCUAACAUUCUUGUCAGGUUUAGACUCAUAAGUAUCAUGCGAUGUGAGACUUGUCUCGCUAGUCUUAACCAAGCUCGCAUCUCCGUAAGACUCGUCCCGUUAGCCUUAACCGACCUUGUGGUAGAGCUGCGCUCUAUCCACAACAGUCAUUAAUAUGAGAGACUCGCUCUUCCCGCUUUAUAAUUAUGAUUCAAAUGAGACUCAACUCACAUUUUUAGUAUAAUUUUGACUCAGCUGAGACUCAUCUCAUAUUUUCAGUAUAAUUCUGACUCAGCCGAUACUCAAAUUACAUUUUCGACUGAUAACUAGCUCUGAUAUCAAUUAUAAUACCCCACUUCUCAAGGGCCACCUAUUUUAUGACUAUUCUAACUCUAGCACGCCUAACUCUCUUAAUUAUUUGGAUCUAAUCAUCGUCUAAAAUACUAUAAUCAGGUUAAAAAUUUUAGCUCUAUUAUAUCUUAUAUAUAGAAUAUAAGGUCUCACAUAAAUGAUUUUAAAAUAAAUUUAAAAAUUUUGAACAAUAGUAAAGGGUAAAUAAGGAAAAGGACAUAAAAUCAUGUCUGGGCUCCUUAUUACUUUGUGCAAGCGUGUUUUGUGGGCAAAAAUUGCAUGGACAUAGUGUCCAAAUUAGCAUCUUUGGGGACGCUCUUGUUGGGCACCACGUGGCUCGCAGACACCCAUCCCACCGUCCCUCUUCCUUCCUCUACUUCUUUCUCUCUAAAAAAAUCAUUUUUUUUAAAAAAAAAGGGACGGUGAGAUGGAUGCUUGCGAGCCACGUGGCGCCUAUUCGAAACAUCCCAAAAAAUGUUAAUGUGGACACUAUAUCCACACAAUUUUUGCCCGCUUCAAAGCAUGGGUCAAAAUAUUAAAUUGACUCAAAGAGAGAGAGAGAGAGAGAGAGAGAGAGAUACAUCACACAUUCACAUGCAGAAAAAUAUAAAAGAAAAACUUCAAAUAUCACUCCUGUAAUUUCGUAUUUACUUACUUAGUAUCUUGUAAUUUAAAGUGUAUCAAGUUAGUGUUAUAUGAUUUCAUUUUUCUCUUUUUAUUAUCCAUUUCACUAAUUUUUUUUCAUUAAACCAGUAACAAAAUUAAAACUAAAGGAUACUAAAAUGAAUAUCGAUAAAGCUAGGUGGAGUAUCCGAAGUUUUUUUUGCAUAUAAUUUAACAAACUAUUAACGGAGGAACUGACGAAAAGAAAAAAAUAAAAUUAGAUGACACUAACUUGAUACACUUUAAACCAUAUGAUACUAAAAUGAGAAAGUGCAAAACUACAGAGGUGAUAUUUAAAAUUUACCCGAAUAUAAAUAUAUUAUUUAAAAUGCAGUUGUUAGUAAAAAGCAAAAUUUGUGGUGGUACUAUUGCAGAUCAAAAGGCUGAACAUGGAAAAGUAUGCAGUAUUCAUAUGCUUCUCAGAUCAGUAAGAUAAAUUUUGGGAGAGUUGGAAGAGAAUAAGAUAAAUUUUGUGUUGUAGUACCUACAAGACGGAUUCGGCUUUCAGCGUGAUCAAAGGCAAAUAGAUCAAAUGUGAAAAUAUGCUUACAUGCUUUUCAAUGGAACUACAAAAAUCAUAUCAUAUCUUUAAAACUGAAUUAGCCUAGAUGUUAUGUAAACUGAACUAUCCUUAACUAACAGGAAAGAUACAUGAAUCAAGCUCAGAACCUCUUAAAACAGAAGGGAAUGAAGAAUGACUCAGAAUACUGUAUUAUCCACCAAAUUAAUAUAUAUAUAUAUAUAUAUAUAUAUAUAUAUAUAUAUAUAUAUAUAUAUAUAUAUAUAUACAUAAUUUAUUUUUAUUUAUUUAUACAAUAUAUAAAAUAUUUAAUAAUUUUUAUUUCAUAGAUCUUCAUCCAACGGUAUAGAUUUUUAAAACCCGCUGGGUUCAGGUUCGGGUUUCGAGUUUUUGGUCGGAUAUGGAUAUGGGUAUGAAUUUUUAAAAUCCGUCGGGUUCGGUUCCGGGUUUGAAUUUUAAUUUGAUUUUCGGGUUCGGGUACGGAUUUUUGAAAAAGAGAAGAAAAGGAAUACAAAUUUCCUAUUCCUCUUUUCAAUAUACAAAAAAUACGUAUUAAACACGGUGAACCAUUCACCGUGUUUAGACACGGUGAAUGGUUCACCAUGUUUAACUUUACUACCGCCCCCAGCCCUACUCGCGUGGUGCUGACGUGGCGCCUGCGUCGCAGGUCUAUGGCCAUUUUUGCAAAUUAAAUUUUGACAGGGCUAUUUUUAAAAUAAAAAUUUGCUAAGGGGCUAAAUGCAAAAAAAGCCCGCUAUUCCUGCUGUCUCCUUUGGAAUCAUUGGUGUGCAAUAAAUUCCUACUGUAAUUACCAUUUUACCGUUUGGCUUAGGUUUUGAAAAAAAAAGUUCUGCAGUAGAGUUAAUUUUGAUUUAGAGAACUCAUUUUGAUUAAAAUCUAUCAAGCGUUUGAUUGAAUUUAAAUAAAAGUAAUUUUUCUGAAGUGAUUUCGUAAAACUGUUUGGUAAAAUAUUUUUAAUAUUUACAAAUAAUAAUUUUUUACUAAAUUUUAUUUUAAAAUAAUUUAAAUUUUGAAUUUAGAUUUAAAUUUUAGAUUUAAAAAUUUUAAAUUUGCCAAAAAUUUAAAAAAUUUUGAUAUUUUAAUUAAAAAUAUAAGUUUGAAAUUUAAAAUUUUUAAAUUUAAAAUUUGAAUUCUUAAAUUCAAAUUUUAAAACUUAAAUUUAAAUCAAAAUGUAAAAUAUAAGAUUUAAAACAUAAAAUUUGAGAAAUUAAAAUUUAAAAUUUAAAAAAUUUAAAACUUAAAAUUCAAAAUUUAAAAGUCGAAAUUAAAAUUUAAAAUUUGAAUCUAAAAUCCAAAUAAAAAUUUAAAAUUUUGAGUUCAAAAUCAGAAUCAGAUUUCAAGAAGCAAGUUUUAGCUGCUUCUGAUUUUGGGUUUCGAAAAUUAGAAAAUUGAUUGUAAAAAUCAAAAUCAAUUUUUAAAAAUAAGAUUACCAAACGCUCUAUUAACUCAAAAAUCACUUCUGAACCCAAAAUCACUUUUCAGAAGUUAGGCCAAAUACCCACUAUAGUUGAUUCCAAUAUAUGUACUUCUAAAUAAGAUUAAGUAUAUGUGGCAAUUGAUCUGUACAUAAAGUAGUGAUUUAUACAUUGGUUCUUAGCAUUAGUCUGAUAUUCAUCCUACGUGACAUAUUUACCUUCUCAUUAAUUUGUCAACGCAGAGGAUUGGAACUCAAAACCCUUGUAUUAUAAUAGAAGUAUUUAAAAUUAACUCAAGUACUAUAUUAUUUAUAAAAUUGAUCAAAUAAAAAACUGACAAAAAAAUAUAGUUAACACCCGAAACACACAAACCAAAUAGAUUAUCUAUCAAUUUUUUUACAGCACUAGUAAAAGAUAAUAUUUCUCCUUAAUAAUUUUCAAACAUCCCUUCAAAUAUUUUCAAACCUCUAGACUUCGCAAAUAAAAUUUAGAGUUUAAAAAAUAUUUUGAUUGUGAAGCCAUUUCUCAGGGUCAUCUAUCUUAGGCCUACUCUACCUCUGAUACGUCUCUUGAGUUUAGCCACUGUCCAAAAUAUUAUAACGGGAUUAAAAGUUUUAAUCCUAUUAUAUCUUAUAUGUAAAACUAUCUGAUAUAUCACAUUUUCUCCUGCUUUAAGUCCUAACAUUCUUGUCAGGUUUAGACUCAUAAGUAUCAUGCGAUGUGAGACUUGUCUCGCUAGUCUUAACCAAGCUCGCAUCUCCGUAAGACUCGUCCCGUUAGCCUUAACCGACCUUGUGGUAGAGCUGCGCUCUAUCCACAACAGUCAUUAAUAUGAGAGACUCGCUCUUCCCGCUUUAUAAUUAUGAUUCAAAUGAGACUCAACUCACAUUUUUAGUAUAAUUUUGACUCAGCUGAGACUCAUCUCAUAUUUUCAGUAUAAUUCUGACUCAGCCGAUACUCAAAUUACAUUUUCGACUGAUAACUAGCUCUGAUAUCAAUUAUAAUACCCCACUUCUCAAGGGCCACCUAUUUUAUGACUAUUCUAACUCUAGCACGCCUAACUCUCUUAAUUAUUUGGAUCUAAUCAUCGUCUAAAAUACUAUAAUCAGGUUAAAAAUUUUAGCUCUAUUAUAUCUUAUAUAUAGAAUAUAAGGUCUCACAUAAAUGAUUUUAAAAUAAAUUUAAAAAUUUUGAACAAUAGUAAAGGGUAAAUAAGGAAAAGGACAUAAAAUCAUGUCUGGGCUCCUUAUUACUUUGUGCAAGCGUGUUUUGUGGGCAAAAAUUGCAUGGACAUAGUGUCCAAAUUAGCAUCUUUGGGGACGCUCUUGUUGGGCACCACGUGGCUCGCAGACACCCAUCCCACCGUCCCUCUUCCUUCCUCUACUUCUUUCUCUCUAAAAAAAUCAUUUUUUUUAAAAAAAAAGGGACGGUGAGAUGGAUGCUUGCGAGCCACGUGGCGCCUAUUCGAAACAUCCCAAAAAAUGUUAAUGUGGACACUAUAUCCACACAAUUUUUGCCCGCUUCAAAGCAUGGGUCAAAAUAUUAAAUUGACUCAAAGAGAGAGAGAGAGAGAGAGAGAGAGAGAUACAUCACACAUUCACAUGCAGAAAAAUAUAAAAGAAAAACUUCAAAUAUCACUCCUGUAAUUUCGUAUUUACUUACUUAGUAUCUUGUAAUUUAAAGUGUAUCAAGUUAGUGUUAUAUGAUUUCAUUUUUCUCUUUUUAUUAUCCAUUUCACUAAUUUUUUUUCAUUAAACCAGUAACAAAAUUAAAACUAAAGGAUACNAUAGUAGGAAGAGCAUUACAUGCUCAAAAAGUAUACCUUGGCAAUUUGCUUAACAUUUAUCACAUAUUUAGCAUCUUCUGUGUUCGGGCUAAUAAUCUUCGUACACCUAGCAACCUUUUGAUGAAACAACAAUCUAGUCAGACACCAAACAUAUGUAAGAUGUAAAACAAGUUCACUAAUAAACUCCCAGAUAUCACAGAAUAAAACAAGCAAGAAUACCUAAAAUUCAUGCAAAUUUGAGACAAAAAUACCUGCAGAGGUUGUUCCUCUUGCAUCAUUUGCUUGUCAGAAACUAAAUCCCACUGGCUAGGUGCAGCUAAACCAGUGUCUGACUCUUUGAUUCCUGACAUUUCAUAACAAAAAACGUCUCAAAGGUUCCAAGAAUAUAAUAGCAACAUAAUUUGAUAACAAAAACUACCUAUCACUACAUUAUGCUAGUUUAAAUAAGCUGUGGAAUCAACUUAUUCCAAAUACUCUUUCAGAAAUCUAAAGAAAACAAAGAAAGCAUUUUAUAUCUAAAUUAGCUCUUCAUGAGUAACGACAACUGAAUCCAGCAACAAAAGACACCACCUUAAAAAGCACAUAUCUAUUUCAAGCAUCUUACUAUGUAUCCAUUCGUAAUGUCCAUUGUAUGCUUGAUUUUGCUACAUAAUAGAAUUGGACUAUAAUAACAUAAACUCAAUUCUUUAUGGAACUAUAACUUAAAACAUCAAUAAUAUGCAUCAGCUGCUUAAGUACACAAAACUUUCAAAAGAAUCAUUCUUUACUUAUCACUUGAGAAAGUAGAGUCGCAUUAUUUCAUUACAAGAAAAAAAUAAGCAAAACAAGCUCCAGUUUACAUAUUUAUACAUCCAUUUCUUCGUAUGUACACAUAUUUAGGCAUAUGAUGAUAUUAACACACUACUUACCACAUAGAUCAUUGAUCUUCUUCACCAUCUCCUUAAUCUCCUUCUCUGCCUUCUUUAUGCUCUCAGAAUAAGGUCCCAGACCCUGCCAUAUCACACAAUUCUCAUUUUAUCAUCAUAAAUGCACUUAAACAAAAAUAAGAGGAACAUCAAAUAGUUUCCACACAAACCCUUAUUAUACAAUCGAUCCAAACAACAAAGGUAUUAAUAAAUCACCACACUAGAUCGCGUUCACCAACAAUAAACCUAGAUCUAGCGGAAUCUGAUGCGCAAACAAAGUAACCUAACCUAGCCCUAAAUCGAGGCGAACCAAAGAAGCGAAGAGAUUAGGGGAUGCGUACGUAGGUUUUGAGGAGGGCGAUGUCGUCCUCGUCGAGGGGGCGCGGGUUCUUCUCGUUCAACUCGUCGUCGGCCUCCGGAGCCAUGGCGAGGUCGAGGGGAGGUAGCGAAAGUGGCGAUCCCUCUGCAGGCUCGAGGGGUAACAGUGAUUCAGCCGUGCGCCUUGUUGCUGAAGAAACCUGAGAGGGUUUUUUAGUGAAAUAGUUUCUUUUAAAAUUUUAUUCUUAAAAUAUACCUUUUAAAUUUUUAUUUAUAAAUAUAAUCCUAUAAAAACGGUAAAUGGUUCACCGCUAGAUCUGGCAAUCUCCAUCCAUAUCCGCGAGUGCUCGUGGGUUACCCACAAAUUUACGGGUAUGGGUACCAACUUUUCAAACCUAAAAAAUUACAGGUAAAACGGGUGGGUACCCAUUAAACUGUGGGUAUUUUGGAUAACCCGCGGGUACCCACGAGUACCCGCACAUAUAUUUUUUAAUUAAAAAAUAUAUAUUUUAAUUAAAAUACAUAUAUUUUUAUUUAUCCAUCCUAAAAAUUCUAACCCUAAUUUCUUAUCGCGUCUUUUAUAUUACGAAUUUUUUUUGCUUUAAAACUUUAAAUAUUUUUAUUGUAUACAAUGAUAUUUUAAAUAAUGAAUUAUGUUAUAUAUAUAUAUAUAUAUAUAUAUAUAUAUAUAUAUAUAUAUAUAUAUAUACUAGUUAUAGUGCACGUGCAAUGCACGUAACAUUUAAUUAAAUUAAAUUUAUAUUUAUAUUUAAAAUUUAAGUAAUUAUUCGUGGUAUAAAUUUAUUUAUCAAUUAAUUUUUUUCUAACAUUAAUUUUUUUAAUGUGUAUCCAAAUUUUAAAAAUUUGAAGUAAUUAUAAAUUUUAAAUUAAUAAAUUUAGAUUUAAAUUUAUGAAUAAAACUCAAAUUUUGAAAUUAAUUUUGAAUCCAUUAUUUCAAUAUAAAUAAUUAUUAAAGACAUUAAUUUAUUUAUCAUCCCAUCUAUUUUUCAAAAUUGAUAUAUUUUCAGUUAAUUAAUUAUUUUCAGUUGAAUACUGUUUACACACCCAAAAUAUUGAAAUUUAAUUAAUUUCAAAUUUUAAAUUAAAAUAUUUAUUCACAUUUGAAAUUUUGAACCAAAUAUAAAAUUUAAAGUUGAUUUGAUGAGCUUAUUUAAAUCGUUUUAUUUUUCAAACCUAAUUUUUUUUUAAUUAGCUAAUUGAAGAUAGUAGAUACAAAAUAUUUUCAUGUUUGUUGCUAUAAAGAUUUUUGGUUUUUUGAAAGUAUGGAAUAUUAUUUUAUGGGGCGCGUUGUGAAAAAUAUUUUACAACAAAUAUCUUCGGUUGGACAAAAAUUUGGAUAAGUAUAAAUUUCUUUCUAUUCUCGCAAAUGAAAUGCAAUACUUUUUCCGACUAAAAAAGGUUUGUCUGUGUCAACAAUUAUUUUAAUAAUUAUCUCAAAUCAAUAUCAAUUUGUGAAUCAUAUUUAUCUACAAAUUUAAAUUUUUAAAUUGUAAAUUUAUAUGUUAUAUUUUAUUGAAAAAAUAUCUCAUAUUUCAAAUAUUAAUAGGUAAAAUUGAGAUAAUUUUUAUAUAUUCACCUUUUAAAAAAUAUGAUUAAAUAUUAUAUAUGCGGAAGGUAUUAUGUGAUUGGAUAUUAUAUAGGUGGCGGAUAUUAUGUGUAAGAAAUAAAAUAUUUAGAAAUGCGAAUAUUAUUUGUUAUAAAAUAUGAUAUUAUGUGGGCGGCAGUUAUUAGAAGAUAUGACAUGCAUAUAAAAAGUGAAAUUUCAUACAUACUAUUUGAAGGCAAUUUGGGUAAAAAAAGUGACAGAUACUUAAUUCGUCAGUCAUUGGAUUAGAUCUAAUGACUAAGAAUUAAUAUAUUUUAUGAUAAUUUAAAAAUAAAAUAAAAAUUGUACGACUGUGAUUUAUUCCAUUAAAGUUGAAUGAAUGAUAUUAUUAGUAUGUGAUUGGAAUUAUAUUAAUAGGGGCCGGCAUUUUGGGAAAUAGGAAAAAAUUCAAAAUUCACGUUUUUAUUAGUGUGUGUGUGUGUAUAUAUAUAUAUAUAUAUAUAUAUAUAUAUAUAUAUAUAUAUAUAUAUGUAUUUGCACUUAACCAUUCAUAAUAUAAGUUAUCCCUGCUAACAUGUUGCCCGCGGGUUACCCAACCCGUCCGUUUGCCAGGUCUAAUCACCGCUAACCAUUCACCGAUUUCUUUCUUUUUUUACUUCUUUCUAUAUUUCUACGAUGAUAAAAAUGGUGAAUGGUUCACCGUUUUUAUUCUUUUUCUACUUCUAUAAAGGAGUUAUGAAUGCGGUGAAUCAUUCACCGCAUUUAGAGGUCUAUUUUUAUAAUUAUUUAAAAAAAAAAACUAUUUUUACAAUUAUAAAAUUGAUAGGAUUAUUUAUAAAAAAAAUUCAACCUGAGAGGUGAAUUGUGAAUUUGUGAGGGGGGUGAGUGCAAAAUU